rnacentral:rRNA from 1 species
GACGAACUUUGCGAACGUUAUUCGGAAUCACUGGGCUUACAGGGUGCGUAGGCGGCCACGUAAGUAGGGUGUGAAAUCCCCCGGCCCAACCGGGGAACUGCGCUCUAAACUACAUGGCUUGAGUGAGCUAGGGGUCCACGGAACUUCCAGUGGAGCGGUGAAAUGUGUUGAUAUUGGAAGGAACACCGGAGGCGAAAGCGGUGGACUGGGGCUUAACUGACGCUGAGGCACGAAAGCCAGGGGAGCGAACGGG